rnacentral:pre_miRNA from 1 species
AUUGCAUUUUCUUCAAACUGAGUCAUUGAUGUGUUCUUGUACAAUGUUAAGAACACUCCUUGACUUUGGUUUGAAGAAUUUCAUGCAGU